CACGUAGGGUGCGAGCGUUGUCCGGAAUUAUUGGGCGUAAAGAGCUCGUAGGCGGUUUGUCGCGUCUGCUGUGAAAAACCUAAGGCUCAACCUUGGGCUUGCAGUGGGUACGGGCAGACUAGAGUGCGGUAGGGGUGACUGGAAUUCCUGGUGUAGCGGUGAAAUGCGCAGAUAUCAGGAGGAACACCGAUGGCGAAGGCAGGUCUCUGGGCCGAUACUGACGCUGAGGAGCGAAAGCGUGGGGAGCGAACAGG
rnacentral:rRNA from 1 species